rnacentral:rRNA from 1 species
GAGGGAUGACGGCCUUCGGGUUGUAAACCUCUUUUAGCAGGGAAGAAGCGAAAGUGACGGUACCUGCAGAAAAAGCGCCGGCUAACUACGUGCCAGCAGCCGCGGUAAUACGUAGGGCGCAAGCGUUAUCCGGAAUUAUUGGGCGUAAAGAGCUCGUAGGCGGUUUGUCGCGUCUGCUGUGAAAUCCCGAGGCUCAACCUCGGGCCUGCAGUGGGUACGGGCAGACUAGAGUGCGGUAGGGGAGAUUGGAAUUCCUGGUGUAGCGGUGGAAUGCGCAGAUAUCAGGAGGAACACCGAUGGCGAAGGCAGAUCUCUGGGCCGUAACUGACGCUGAGGAGCGAAAGGGUGGGGAGCAAACAGGCUUAGAUACCCUGGUAGUCCACCCCGUAAACGUUGGGAACUAGUUGUGGGGUCCAUUCCACGGAUUCCGUGACGCAGCUAACGCAUUAAGUUCCCCGCCUGGGGAGUACGGCCGCAAGGCUAAAACUCAAAGGAAUUGACGGGGACCCGCACAAGCGGCGGAGCAUGCGGAUUAAUUCGAUGCAACGCGAGACCUUACCACGCUUGACAUAUACGAGACG